GACAACGAAGAAGUAGUGACGGAAGUUAUAUAAGAAAAUAAAUUCUUAGAUUGUACAAGUAUAUAUAUAUAUAUAUAUAUAUAUUACACUUACUAUUUAAGUUUCAUCAAUAAAGGAAAUCAACAUUUAAUAUUUUCCAAACACCAAACGAAACAUAUAGUCAUCAAGAAUGAAUGAUGGGAUGAAAUGCAAUGCAAUAUGAUGCCAUGUAAUGAUAUGACUCAGAAUACCCAGUACUCACUCAACCGUAUAUACAUGAUACUCCUCGGAAAUACAUCGAGAGUUCAUGACCCAUGGGGGACUCGCGAGGUCCAUAUACCGACACGGACGAUCUCCACGUGUCUGUGCGGACGAUCUCAACGCACUAUCACAAUAUCAAACAAUUUUCGCACGGACGGUCUCCACGUGACCAUAUUACAAUCUUAAAAUCUCACCAUCCCUAGCACGGACGAUCUCCACGUGCCCAACUUAUACUCAGUCUCAUGUCUAUGCACGUGCACAAUAUUAUUUCAAUAUAGGGGAUGAUGAUGCAUCUCAAUCAAUCAAUAUGAACAUAAUACAUAACCACCUCAAUAAUCACAAAUAUACGGGUGUAACAAAGAAAACACAAUCACACAAGGAUUUCAAGUCAAUCAUACAUCAGCUAAUGUCCAUAUGCUUUGGCAUUUUCAAUUUUCAAUCCACAUUCUAUAGUAGUAACUUUUCCUUUUAUAACACCGGUACUCGUACCAAUGCCCGUCACACCAUUGAUACGAGAUCCCCCAUCUUUCGCCCUUACCCAUUGUCUAUUUCAUUUUUAUUUUUAUUUAGGAAAACGUCCUUCAACAAGUCUAAGAAGUCUUAACAUACCUUAAAUGCCGAACUUGUUUCACCAAUCUUCAAGACUUUCUCUUUCCUUCUCGCAAAGCUUCGGAACGUUCCCAAUCUACCAAUUGUGCAAUAUUCGUAAGUAAGUGAGUUCGUAGACUCUAAAACCCACUCAUAUUUUCAACCAAACUCCAAAUCUUGAUACAUAUUGGUAUGCCAAAUUUUUCAUACUUACUAAAUUUCAAGUCAAUAAUUUGAACCUUAAUCUCUCCAAAGAAAAUCAUAAUUUUAAUGGUAUUCAUACAACACUAUUCAAAUAAUAUUUAAUUAUCUACCUCAAUAUAUUUAACUCAAAUCUUUAUUCGAUAAUUGACUGAAGCAGGUCAAUGUUAUAUCUGCACUACGGGAAGGCAACGUGACAAUCUGUAAACCAAAAAAAAAAGGACUACCAAAUCCCAAAAAUUUAUAACAAAUGCCAAUCAUUGGCACUUCCUAAAUGAUUGGCUUAUAAUAUGAUUGUCAAUUAUUAGAUCAUGAUUUUCUCAUGAUUUCCCACCUCCAAUAUGACAAGGCAUUACUGCAUAUGACUAAGUCAUAUUAACGCAGUAUUGUCUUUUUACUCACUGCUUAUCCUCGUCCCUUUUUAAUAAAAAAAAAUUCCAUCCAUUCUUCCUAUUAAUAAUCACAUGAUCUAAAUAUUUUCCCUCAACUUCAUUAAGUGUAACAAAUAAACUUUUAGUAAUAGUCACAGGAACGACAUAAUCUAAACUGCUAUUGCAGAGAAAAUAUACACCAUUCUCCGCUAAUUUUCUUAUCAAUUUUCGAACUCAUAAUAAUAAUUAGACGAACAAGGGAUCAACUUUCCAUCUACCUUACUUUAUUAGGAUCCAUAUAACAAUCAAGAAAUUUUUCAAAUUGCUUCUUACCUGAAUAUUUCGUUGGCUUCCUCACGUUCUGUAAUCUACGCUUCCCAAAAAAAAUCAGUUUCUACCUCUUUUGUUUUCUGCCCUCUUAAUGUUAAUUAAGUAAAAUAAAUAAACUAACCCCACUAACCUAAAUUAAUUAAUGGGUCAAGUAAAAAGGUAUUAAAUGAAUUAUGGAUAUGACCCACUAACUAUUAACUAGAUAAAUUCUUCACUAAAAAUUUUAUCAACUAAAUAUUCUUAGUUUCGAAUAGUUUAAAAAUACCCCUUUAAAUUUUUCAAAAGGAGUCAAACUAGUCCUAGUUCUCAAAACGACCUAGCGGGUCGUUACAUCACCUACCACUUAAACAGAAGUUCGUCCUUGAACGGGAAAAGAAAUGGGCUAACCUGAACGCUCAAAAAGAUGAGGAUAUUUACUCCUCAUGUCUGACUCUGUCUCCCAUGUAGCCUUCUCCAUUGGAUGAUGCUUCCACUGAACCUUUACUGAAGCAAUCUCUUUGGACCUUAGUUUCCGAAUUUGCCUAUCCAAAAUGGUGAUCGGCUCUUCUUCAAAAGUCAAAUUCGAAUCAAGUAACACUGAAUCCCAUUGAAUCACAUGAUCACCACCCUGAUGAUACUUCUUAAGCAUUGAAAUAUGAAAUACAGGAUGGACACCUGACAACCCAGGUGGCAAAGCCAACUGAUAUGCCACCUCACCAAUACUCUCCACAACCUCGAAAGGACCAAUGUACCUUGGACUCAACUUUCCCUUCUUUCCAAAUCUCAUCACACCCUUCAUGGGUGAAACCUUAAGUAGAACCCUCUCUCCAACCAUAAACUCCAAAUCACGAACUUUCCUAUCUGCGUAACUCUUUUGCCUGCUUUGAGCCAUGAUAAGUCUAUCUUGGAUCAACUUGACCUUGUCCAAAGACUCCCUCAACAAAUCUGUACCCCAUGGUCUAACCUCAAAUGCAUCAAACCAGCCAAUUGGAGAUCGACAUCUCCUACCGUACAGAACCUCAAAUGGUGCCAUCUCGAUGCUGGAAUGAUAACUAUUAUUGUAAGAAAAUUCCGCUAAUGGCAAGAACUGAUCCCAGUGACCACCAAAGUCAAUCACACAUGCUCGCAACAUGUCCUCAAGAACCUGAAUAGUCCGCUCUGACUGACCAUCAGUCUGAGGGUGGAAAGCUGUACUAAGAUCCACCCGAGUACCCAACUCCUUCUGCAUAGACCGCCAGAAAUGAGAUGUAAAUUGGGUGCCACGAUCUGAAAUAAUAGAUAUAGGAACCCCAUGCAAACGAACUAUCUCUCGAAUAUAGAUUUUGGCUAACUUCUCUGAAUUAUAGGUUGUCUGAACUGGUACAAAGUGUGCAGACUUAGUCAGUCGAUCCACAAUGACCCAUAUAGCAUCAAACUUACCCAAAGUACAUGGCAAUCCUACCACAAAGUCCAUAGCAAUACGCUCCCACUUCCACUCAGGUAUAGGCAUCCUCUGUGUCACACCUCCAGGAUUUUGGUGUUCAUACUUCACUUGCUGACAAUUCAGACACUGGGAUACAAAAUCUACUAUGUCCCUCUUCAUACGGCACCACCAAUAAUGUUGCUUCAAGUCACGAUACAUCUUAGUAGCCCCCGGAUGAAUAGAGUACCUCGAACUAUGAGCCUCCUCCAUGAUCAAUCUAGUCAAAUCACCUGUACGAGGAACACAUAUAUGACCCUUAAUCCUCAAAACUCCCUCACUAUCAAGAAUUGAAGCCUUGGCUUCUCCUUUUAAAACCUUGUCCCUAAUCUUACAUAAAUCACCAUCAUCAAACUGUUGAGCCCGAAUCUGCUCCAACAAGGAUGACCUAGCCUCCAUAUAAGCCAACACCUUACCAGAUUCUGAAAUAUCAAGUCUCACAAAGCUAUUGGCCAAGGAUUGGACAUCCCUAGCUAAAGGACGCUCGCCAACCUGUAACAUGGCUAGACUACCCAUACUUACCGCCUUCCGACUCAAGGCAUUUGCUACAACAUUUGCUUUGCCUGGGUGAUAAAGAAUAGUCAUAUCGUAGUCUUUGAGCAACUCCAACCAUCUCCUCUGCCUCAAAUUGAGAUCCCUCUGAUUGAAUAUAUACUGGAGACUACGAUGAUCCGUGAACACCUCACAAUGCAUACCAUAAAGAUAAUUCCUCCAAAUCUUUAAUGCAAACACAACAGACGCCAACUCUAAAUCAUGAAUAGGGUAGUUCUUCUCAUGAACCUUUAACUGCCUCGAAGCAUAAGAUAUCACCCUUCCCUUCUGCAUCAACACACAACCAAGACCAAUCUGAGAAGCAUCACAAUAUACAACAAAACCCUUUCCCUCCAAGGGUAGGGUCAAAAUUGGAGCAGUAGUCAAUAAAGUCUUGAGCUUUUGGAAACUAACCUCACAUUCGUCAGACCACUGAAAAGUCACCUCCUUUUGUGUCAAUCUAGUUAAUGGAGAUGCAAUGGAUGAGAAACCCUCAACAAACCGUCGAUAAUAACCUGCAAGGCCCAAGAAACUCCGAAUCUCAGUAACUGAAGUAGGUCUGACCCAAUCUCUAACUGCCUCGAUCUUCUUAGGAUCGACCAUGAUACCCUCCUUGGACACUACAUGUCCCAAGAAUGCUACCGAACUAAGCCAAAACUCACACUUUGAAAACUUUGCAUAAAGCUUCUUCUCCUUUAGAAUCCCAAGAACAAUCCUCAAAUGAUGCUCGUGUUCCUCCUUAGUGCGUGAGUAUAUCAAUAUAUCAUCUAUGAAGACAAUAACAAAGGAAUCUAAAUACGGUCUGAACACUCCAUUCAUCAAGUCCAUAAAAGUUGUUGGGGCAUUAGUCAGUCCGAAAGACAUCACCAAAAACUUGUAAUGACCAUAACGUGUUCGAAAAGCCGUCUUAGGGAUAUCCUCCGCCCUAACCUUCAGCUGAUGAUAGCCAGAUCUCAAGUCAAUUUUGGAGAAAACUGAAGCACCCUGCAACUGAUCAAAUAAAUCAUCAAUACGAGGUAUCGGAUACUUAUUUCUGAUGGUUACCUUGUUCAACUGCCGAUAGUCAAUACACAUACGCAUAGAUCCAUCUUUCUUCUUCACAAAUAACACUGGAGCACCCCAAGGAGAUACACUUGGUCUAAUAAAACCUUUGCUCAACAAAUCCUGCAGCUGCUCCUUCAACUCUUUCAAUUCAGCUGGUGCCAUACGAUAAGGAGGAAUGGAAAUAGGCCGAGUGCCUGGCUCCACAUCAAUACAAAAAUCAAUAUCUCGAUUCGGUGGAAGACCUGGCAAAUCGGUCGGGAAUACCUCUGAAAAUUCACUCACCACUGGAAUAGACUCAAGCAUAGGAGUCUCAAUACUAGUAUCUCGAAUAUGGGCCAAGUAAGCCAAACAUCCUCUCUGUACCAACUGACGAGCCUUAAGGAAUGAUAUCACACCCUUAGAAGGAUGACUAAGAGUACCUCUCCAUUCUACUAUAGGAAUUCCAGGCAUAGCUAAAGUGAUGGUCUUGGCAUGAAAAUUUAAAAUUGCGUGGUAAGAAGAUAACCAAUCCAUACCAAGAAUCACAUCAAAAUCUAUCAUUUCUAAGACCUUUAGAUCUGUAUGAGUGUCAUACCCCAUCAAAGUAACAGUACAUAAACGAUACACUUGAUCUACAACUACACAAUCCCCGACAGGAGUAGAAACACGUAUCGGCAAAUCAAGAUACUCACACAAUAUAUCCAGACUAGGAGCAAAAUAUGUGGACACAUAAGAAUAAGUAGAGCCUGGAUCAAAUAAUACAGUAGCUGGUCGAUGACAAACCGGAAUAAAACCUGUGAUAACAGCAUCUGAGGCUUCAGCCUCUGGCCUACCUGGAAAAGCAUAACAGUGAGAACGACUUCCAUCAGAUUGUGGACCUCCACGACCACCACCUCGACCAGAAGGAGAACCACCUCUACCUGAAUGAGAACCACCUAUACCAUUCUAUGCACCACCCCUAGCUGGAGGUUGUGCAGCCCUGGAAGUCGAAACCUGAGAACCCUGAUGUAAGCCACCACGUCUGGUCCUAGGGCAGUCUCUCACAAAGUGUCCCAUAUCAUCACACUCAAAGCAACCCCUACGAGACGCCGGCUGAUGAGAGGAACCGGAAUGACCAGAAUGCCCUCCACGAACUACAGGUCUAGAAGAUGAACCCUGCAAAGUAUGUACCGAGCUCGAAGAGUUAUGCCCAGCGUAACCAGCCUCAGACGCUGGUAUGGCAGCAAGAAUGGGUCUGUUGGACUGAGGGUGAUAACCUCUGCCCAAGUAACCCCGACUCCUAGACGGAGCACCACCAUAAUCACCUGAAUAAUGAGUCCUCUUGCCCUCUCGCUGCUCAAAUUCCUCACGUCGAAUCAUCUCCAACUCCUUAGCAGCAUCUACCACUUUCUGGAAUGGAACACCAGAAGCAGCAACCUGAGAAACUCCUAGACGAAUUGGAAUAAUCAGCCCCUUAACAAACCUCCUCACUCUCUCAGCCUCUGUGGGAAGUAUCAUCGAAGCAUGCCUAGCCAAGGCAUGAAAUUUACCCUUAUACUCUGCAACUGACUACCAUUUUGCUGCAAACCCUCAAACUCGGCCCUCUUGCGCUCCCUCUCACUGCGUGGAACAAAUUUGGAUAGAAAUACCUGAGUAAACUCAGUCCAGGAUAGUGGAUGAGAUCCAGCUGGCCUACUACUAAUAUAAUCCCUCCACCACUGCUUAGCAGAGCCAGUCAUCUGAAACGCUGUAUAGUCAACUCCAUGAGACUCCACUAAUCCAAGAUUAUGCAACCUCUCAUGACAACUAACUAUAAACUCAUAUGCAUCCUCAGCUAAGUCACCAGUAUAAGUAGGAGGAUUCAUUAGUUUGAACCUCCCAAACAUCUUUUGCUCAUCAAUAGUCAUAGAAGGCCUGUUCACCAAAUGUGAUGUCAUAUCUGGAAACUCCAUACUAUCCAAACGAGGAGCUACAGCGGCAGCUGGCUGAGUCCUGGGAGUUUGAGAAUCUGGAGCAACUAUCGUAUCUGGAGUUUGACCUCCAACACGGGUCUGUGAGCCAUCAGAAGUGAGAGGCAAAGCUCCUGCCUGGGCCAUCCCCUCUAGGAUUCCUAACAUACGAGCCAGGGUAUCUUGAAGCACUGGGGGAACAAUAGUACUGGUUGGAGCCUGAGCUGGCCCAUCCCCCUCGACACGAUCAUGCACAUCCCCAUAAAGAACAUCUGCAUUAGGAGGUACGGUCCUAUCAUGACCCUGGGUAGCUAUUGGUACUUGACCACCCACAGGUGCUGCAAUACGGCCCCUACCCGACCUCGAGCUCGUCCCCUACCUCUACCUCGGAUAGGGUUCCCAGAAGCAGGCGCAGGAUUAGGAUCCUGACCACCACUUGCCGACGUACGAUUCCUCGCCAUCUGAGAGAAAAUGAGAUAUCAAGAUUAGAAUUUCUACAAGGUCAAGUGUGCAUGAUAAGGAAUAAAAGAACAGAAUAUUUCCUAAAUGUCCUAUAGCCUCUCGAAGAUAGGUAUGGACGUCUUCAUACCGAUCUGCAAGACUCUACUAGACAUUGCUCUUGUACUCUUGAGACCGAUGAACCUAGAGCUCUGAUACCAAAUUUGUCACGACCCAAAAUCACGAGUCGUGAUGGCACCUUUAUUCCCAACCAAUAGGUAAGCCAACCAACAUAUUUUAACAAACUUAACUAACAAGAAGUGAAAAGACAAAAAUUUUCAAAUCUCCAACACUAAGUUCUUAUAAGUACGAAUGCGGAAAACUGAAAAAAAUACUACCCAAGAAAUGGUGUCAUGAGUAAAAGAGCUUCUAAAAUACGAUGCAAGUCUGAAACUAAAAAGGCAAAUCUAACAUAAGGGAUAUCCUGUCUGAAUACUGAAUAACAGAAUAAGUAAAACAUAGAGGGAGGUGUGGGCCACGGAACAGCCAAGCAGCUCACCACAACUCCAAGACACUCCAAACUCGGACUCAAACUGCUCCUCGAGAUGUGCUCCUACUUGGAAUCGAAUCUGCACCACAAAGCGUGCAACAAGCGUAGUAUGAGUACGAAACCACGUGUACCCAGUAUGUCUCAUUGACCGACAACGAAGAAGUAGUGACGGGAGUUAUAUAAGAAAAUAAAUUCUUAGAUUGUACAAGUAUAUAUAUAUAUAUAUAUAUAUAUAUAUAUAUAUAUAUAUAUAUAUAUAUAUAUAUAUAUAUAUUACACUUACUAUUUAAGUUUCAUCAAUAAAGGAAAUCAACAUUUAAUAUUUUCCAAACACCAAAUGAAACAUAUAGUCAUCAAGAAUGAAUGAUGGGAUGAAAUGCAAUGCAAUAUGAUGCCAUGUAAUGAUAUGGCUCAGAAUACCCAGUACUCACUCAACCGUAUAUACAUGAUACUCCUCGGAAAUACAUCGAGAGUUCAUGACCCAUGGGGGACUCGCGAGGUCCAUAUACCGACACGGACGAUCUCCACGUGUCUGUGCGGACGAUCUCAACGCACUAUCACAAUAUCAAACAAUUUUCGCACGGACGGUCUCCACGUGACCAUAUUACAAUCUUAAAAUCUCACCAUCCCUAGCACGGACGAUCUCCAUGUGCCCAACUUAUACUCAGUCUCAUGUCUAUGCACGUGCACAAUAUUAUUUCAAUAUAGGGGAUGAUGAUGCAUCUCAAUCAAUCAAUAUGAACAUAAUACAUAACCACCUCAAUAUUCACAAAUAUACGGGUGUAACAAAGAAAACACAAUCACACAAGGAUUUCAAGUCAAUCAUACAUCAGCUAAUGCCCAUAUGCUUUGGCAUUUUCAAUUUUCAAUCCACAUUCUAUAGUAGUAACUUUUCCUUUUAUAACACCGGUACUCGUACCAAUGCCCGUCACACCAUUGAUACGAGAUCCCCCAUCUUUCGCCCUUACCCAUUGUCUAUUUCAUUUUUAUUUUUAUUUAGGAAAACGUCCUUCAACAAGUCUAAG
rnacentral:lncRNA from 1 species